rnacentral:rRNA from 1 species
GUGUGUUCGGGUUGUCAUGCCAAUGGCACUGCCCGGUAGCUAAAUGCGGAAGAGAUAAGUGCUGAAAGCAUCUAAGCACGAAACUUGCCCCGAGAUGAGUUCUCCCUGAGACUUAGAGUCUCCUGAAGGAACGUUGAAGACGACGACGUUGAUAGGCCGGGUGUGUAAGCGCAGCGAUGCGUUGAGCUAACCGGUACUAAUGAACCGUGAGGCUUAACCUU